rnacentral:rRNA from 1 species
AAGGAAUAUUGCUCAAUGGGAGAAAUCCUGAAGCAGCAACGCCGCGUGGAGGAUGAAGGGUCUAUGACUUGUAAACUCCUGUAAAGAAGGAAAACAUUCCCAUUAGAUGGGAGAUGAUGGUACUUCUGGAGUAAGCCCCGGCUAACUACGUGCCAGCAGCCGCGGUACUACGUAGGGGGCAAGCGUUGUCCGGAUUUACUGGGUGUAAAGGGCGCUCAGGCGGAUUUGUAAGUCAGAGGUGAAAUCUUACAGCUUAACUGUGAAACUGCCUUUGAUAAUGCAAGCCUAGAGUAUGGAAGAGAGUGAUGGAAUAUCUGGUGUAGCAGUGAAAUGCGUAGAUAUCAGAUAGAACACCAAUGGCGAAGGCAGUCACUUGGUCCAUUACUGACGCUAAAGCACGAAAGCGUGGGUAGCAAACA